rnacentral:rRNA from 1 species
GAUGAACGCUGGCGGCGUGCCUAAUACAUGCAAGUCGAGCGAACAGACGAGGAGCUUGCUCCUCUGACGUUAGCGGCGGGCGGGUGAGUAACACGUGGAUAACCUACCUAUAAGACUGGGAUAACUUCGGGAAACCGGAGCUAAUACCGGAUAAUAUAUUGAACCGCAUGGUUCAAUAGUGAAAGACGGUUUUGCUGUCACUUAUAGAUGGAUCCGCGCCGCAUUAGCUAGUUGGCAAGGUAACGGCUUACCAAGGCGACGAUGCGUAGCCGACCUGAGAGGGUGAUCGGCCACACUGGAACUGAGACACGGUCCAGACUCCUACGGGAGGCAGCAGUAGGGAAUCUUCCGCAAUGGGCGAAAGCCUGACGGAGCAACGCCGCGUGAGUGAUGAAGGUCUUCGGAUCGUAAAACUCUGUUAUUAGGGAAGAACAAAUGUGUAAGUAACUAUGCACGUCUUGACGGUACCUAAUCAGAAAGCCACGGCUAACUACGUG